GACGAACGCUGGCGGCGUGCUUAACACAUGCAAGUCGAACGGGUCUGCCCUGUUUUUUGCGGGGUGGGUCAGUGGCGAACGGGUUAGUAACACGUGAGUAACCUGCCCCUCACUUCUGGAUAACCGCUUGAAAGGGUGGCUAAUACGGGGUGUUCUGGCUGUGCCGCAUGGUGUGGCUGGGAAAGAUUCACUUUUGUGGUGUUUUGGUGGGGGAUGGGCUCGCGGCCUAUCAGCUUGUUGGUGGGGUGAUGGCCUGCCAAGGCUUUGACGGGUAGCCGGCCUGAGAGGGUGGGCGGUCACACUGGGACUGAGAUACGGCCCAGACUCCUGCGGGAGGCAGCAGUGGGGGGUAUUGCACAAUGGGCGGAAGCCUGAUGCAGCGACGUCGCGUGAGGGAUGGAGGCCUUCGGGUUGUGAACCUCUUUCGCCGGUGAAGAAGGUCCUGCUCUUUGUGGUGGGGUUGACGGUAGCCGGGUUAUGAAGCGCCGGCUAACUACGUG
rnacentral:rRNA from 1 species